ACACGAGGAAACUUGUGCUAAUACCGGAUAAGCCCUUACGGGGAAAGUUUUAACGCCGAAAGAUGAGCCCGCACUUGAUUAGCUAGUUGGUGAGGUAAUAGCUCACCAAGGCAACGAUCAAUAGCUGUUCUUAGAGGAAGACCAGCCACAUUGGGACUGAGACACGGCCCAAACUCCUACGGGAGGCAGCAGUAGGGAAUCUUGCACAAUGGGGGAAACCCUGAUGCAGCGAUGCCGCGUGAGUGAAGAAGGCCCUUGGGUUGUAAAACUCUUUCGUCGGGGAAGAAAAUGACUGUACCCGAAUAAGAAGGUCCGG
rnacentral:rRNA from 1 species